ACAACGCAGCAAGGCGGAAAGCAGCAGACAGUAGGGUUGCAGAAACUACCUACGCAGCAGCAAUCAGGCUCACUGGACUUACUUUUCAGAUCAGUUUAUGCCUUUGCAUCUUGCUGUUCCAGUUUCAAGAAGUUAAGGAAGAUAACUGGAGAUGUGAUAACGAUACCAGAAGACUGAGAAGAAACUGACCCUCAUUAGAAAGAUGAUGGAGACCACAUUUCCCCU